rnacentral:rRNA from 1 species
UACGGAGGGUGCAAGCGUUAUCCGGAAUCACUGGGUUUAAAGGGUGCGGAGGCGGCUACAUAAGUCAGAGGUGAAAGCUUGCAGCUUAACUGCGAAAUUGCCUUUGAUACUGUAUAGCUUGAAAGGAGCUGAGGUCAGCAGAAUGUGGCAUGUAGCGGUGAAAUGCAUAGAUAUGCCAUAGAAUACCAAUUGCGAAGGCAGCUGGCUGGGCUUACUUUGACGCUGAGGCACGAAAGCGUGGGGAGCGAACAGG